rnacentral:tmRNA from 1 species
GGGGAUGUUCAUAAUCGACUAGAAAAUCCCUUAAUAAUUGCUAAUCAAGUUGUUAAUCUUGUAAAAAUUAUCACACUCCAAUAAGUGUCAAAAAUAUUACGGGCGCUGUGAGGGAAAAAGUCAGCAAUUUUAUUGCUUCCUUAUCACCAAACUUCGCUCCUGCAUUAGCUUAAAUACUAUUGCCAUCCCCCUUGUAAACCUGUGCCAAGAUCGGGAUGUUAUAUAUCCGGGUGUAGGUUCUCUUUGCCGCUUGAGCCAAGAAGCCGAAUAAAUUUCAAGCUAUGGUUUAAAAAUUUUUGCCUAUUUCUAUUUUUAAAUCAAAACUUAAACAGGCUAUAUUAGUAGAAAAUUAUUAAUGGCUUUCUAAAACGCGGGUGCAAUACCCGCCAUCUCCACCA